rnacentral:rRNA from 1 species
AUUGAACGCUGGCGGCAGGCCUAACACAUGCAAGUCGAGCGGAUGAAGGGAGCUUGCUCCUGGAUUCAGCGGCGGACGGGUGAGUAAUGCCUAGGAAUCUGCCUGGUAGUGGGGGAUAACGUCCGGAAACGGGCGCUAAUACCGCAUACGUCCUGAGGGAGAAAGUGGGGGAUCUUCGGACCUCACGCUAUCAGAUGGGCCUAGGUCGGAUUAGCUAGUUGGUGGGGUAAAGGCCUACCAAGGCGACGAUCCGUAACUGGUCUGAGAGGAUGAUCAGUCACACUGGAACUGAGACACGGUCCAGACUCCUACGGGAGGCAGCAGUGGGGAAUAUUGGACAAUGGGCGAAAGCCUGAUCCAGCCCUGCCGCGUGUGUGAAGAAGGUCUUCGGAUUGUAAAGCACUUUAAGUUGGGAGGAAGGGCAGUAAGUUAAUACCUUGCUGUUUUGACGUUACCAACAGAAUAAGCACCGGCUAACUUCGUG